UACGUAGGGUGCGAGCGUUGUCCGGAAUUAUUGGGCGUAAAGGGCUCGUAGGCGGUUUGUCACGUCAGGAGUGAAAACUCGGGGCUCAACCCCGAGCCUGCUUCUGAUACGGGCAGACUGGAGGUAUGCAGGGGAGAACGGAAUUCCUGGUGUAGCGGUGAAAUGCGCAGAUAUCAGGAGGAACACCGGUGGCGAAGGCAGGUCUCUGGGCCACUACUGACGCUGAGAAGCGAAAGCAUGGGGAGCGAACAGG
rnacentral:rRNA from 1 species